AUUCCAGCUCCAAGAGCGUAUAUUAAAGUUGUUGCAGUUAAAAAGCUCGUAGUUGGAUUUCUGGUACAAUGCGCCUGGCCCGCGACGGUUACGUCUGUGAGUGCCGGUGCGCGUUUGCCAUCCUUCUAGAAAACGUUUCUACCCUUCGCUGGGCCGGAUUCGCGAUCUAGAUCUUUUACUUUGAAAAAAUUAGAGUGUUUAAAGCAGGCUUUUGCUAUGAAUACAUUAGCAUGGAAUAAUAAUCUAGGACUUCGGUUCUAUUUUGUUGGUUUCUAGUACUGAAGUAAUGAUUGAUAGGGAUAGUUGGGGGUGCUAGUAUUGGCCGGCCAGAGGUGAAAUUCUUGGAUUCGGUCAAGACUAACUUAUGCGAAAGCAUUCACCAAGGAUGUCUUCAUCG
rnacentral:rRNA from 1 species